AACGAACGCUGGCGGCAUGCCUAACACAUGCAAGUCGAACGAGACCUUCGGGUCUAGUGGCGCACGGGUGCGUAACGCGUGGGAACCUGCCCUUAGGUUCGGAAUAACUCCCCGAAAGGGGUGCUAAUACCGGAUAAUGUCUUCGGACCAAAGAUUUAUCGCCUUUGGAUGGGCCCGCGUUGGAUUAGCUAGUUGGUAGGGUAAAAGCCUACCAAGGCGACGAUCCAUAGCUGGUCUGAGAGGAUGAUCAGCCACACUGGGACUGAGACACGGCCCAGACUCCUACGGGAGGCAGCAGUGGGGAAUAUUGGACAAUGGGCGAAAGCCUGAUCGAGCAAUGCCGCGUGAGUGAUGAAGGCCUUAGGGUUGUAAAGCUCUUUUACCCGGGAUGAUAAUGACAGUACCGGGAGAAUAAGCCCCGGCUAACUCCGUG
rnacentral:rRNA from 1 species